CCUGCUUAUAACAAAAUUCAAACAGAGCUUACAUCCAAGGAUACAUACGUCUGAAACCUACAGGCCCAUGUACUCCGAUCCAUGCUCACAAAAACCAGCAUUCAACCCUCUCAUUCAACCUUUUAAGAGCAGGCUGACUUCUGGAUGAAACAAUCUCUAAUCUUAAAUGUGAUCUUGACACCCUCCAUUCUUGUUUGCUUCCCAUCCCAGACUCUGAUAAACAUGCUUUUAUUCUCUAUGCCCAUCCAUUUAAUUGUAUUGAUUUCAAGUUUAAUUGCUCUCAAAAAGUAUUU
rnacentral:lncRNA from 1 species